GGGCUCGUGGUCUAAGUCAGGAUAAGACGUCAGCCUGCGGAUCUGAUGAGCGUGGGUUUGAAUCUCACCGAGCCCG
rnacentral:tRNA from 1 species